GUUAAUGGGUGAUGGCGUGCCUUUUGUAGAAUGAACCGGCGAGUUACGAUUUGAUGCAAGGUUAAGCAGUAAAUGUGGAGCCGUAGCGAAAGCGAGUCUGAAUAGGGCGUUUAGUAUUUGGUCGUAGACCCGAAACCAGGUGAUCUACCCUUGGUCAGGUUGAAGUUCAGGUAACACUGAAUGGAGGACCGAACCGACUUACGUUGAAAAGUGAGCGGAUGAACUGAGGGUAGCGGAGAAAUUCCAAUCGAACCUGGAGAUAGCUGGUUCUCUCCGAAAUAGCUUUAGGGCUAGCCUCAAGUGAUGAUUAUUGGAGGUAGAGCACUGUUUGGACGAGGGGCCCCUCUCGGGUUACCGAAUUCAGACAAACUCCGAAUGCCAAUUAAUUUAACUUGGGAGUCAGAACAUGGGUGAUAAGGUCCGUGUUCGAAAGGGAAACAGCCCAGACCACCAGCUAAGGUCCCAAAAUAUAUGUUAAGUGGAAAAGGAUGUGGCGUUGCCCAGACAACUAGGAUGUUGGCUUAGAAGCAGCCAUCAUUUAAAGAGUGCGUAAUAGCUCACUAGUCGAGUGACACUGCGCCGAAAAUGUACCGGGGCUAAACAUAUUACCGAAGCUGUGGAUUGUCCUUUGGACAAUGGUAGGAGAGCGUUCUAAGGGCGUUGAAGCAUGAUCGUAAGGACAUGUGGAGCGCUUAGAAGUGAGAAUGCCGGUGUGAGUAGCGAAAGACGGGUGAGAAUCCCGUCCACCGAUUGACUAAGGUUUCCAGAGGAAGGCUCGUCCGCUCUGGGUUAGUCGGGUCCUAAGCUGAGGCCGACAGGCGUAGGCGAUGGAUAACAGGUUGAUAUUCCUGUACCACCUAUAAUCGUUUUAAUCGAUGGGGGGACGCAGUAGGAUAGGCGAAGCGUGCGAUUGGAUUGCACGUCUAAGCAGUAAGGCUGAGUAUUAGGCAAAUCCGGUACUCAUUAAGGCUGAGCUGUGAUGGGGAGAAGACAUUGUGUCUUCGAGUCGUUGAUUUCACACUGCCGAGAAAAGCCUCUAGAUAGAAAAUAGGUGCCCGUACCGCAAACCGACACAGGUAGUCAAGAUGAGAAUUCUAAGGUGAGCGAGCGAACUCUCGUUAAGGAACUCGGCAAAAUGACCCCGUAACUUCGGGAGAAGGGGUGCUCUUUAGGGUUAACGCCCAGAAGAGCCGCAGUGAAUAGGCCCAAGCGACUGUUUAUCAAAAACACAGGUCUCUGCUAAACCGUAAGGUGAUGUAUAGGGGCUGACGCCUGCCCGGUGCUGGAAGGUUAAGAGGAGUGGUUAGCUUCUGCGAAGCUACGAAUCGAAGCCCCAGUAAACGGCGGCCGUAACUAUAACGGUCCUAAGGUAGCGAAAUUCCUUGUCGGGUAAGUUCCGACCCGCACGAAAGGCGUAACGAUUUGGGCACUGUCUCAACGAGAGACUCGGUGAAAUCAUAGUACCUGUGAAGAUGCAGGUUACCCGCGACAGGACGGAAAGACCCCGUGGAGCUUUACUGUAGCCUGAUAUUGAAAUUCGGCACAGCUUGUACAGGAUAGGUAGGAGCCUUUGAAACGUGAGCGCUAGCUUACGUGGAGGCGCUGGUGGGAUACUACCCUAGCUGUGUUGGCUUUCUAACCCGCACCACUUAUCGUGGUGGGAGACAGUGUCAGGCGGGCAGUUUGACUGGGGCGGUCGCCUCCUAAAAGGUAACGGAGGCGCUCAAAGGUUCCCUCAGAAUGGUUGGAAAUCAUUCAUAGAGUGUAAAGGCAUAAGGGAGCUUGACUGCGAGACCUACAAGUCGAGCAGGGUCGAAAGACGGACUUAGUGAUCCGGUGGUUCCGCAUGGAAGGGCCAUCGCUCAACGGAUAAAAGCUACCCCGGGGAUAACAGGCUUAUCUCCCCCAAGAGUUCACAUCGACGGGGAGGUUUGGCACCUCGAUGUCGGCUCAUCGCAUCCUGGGGCUGUAGUCGGUCCCAAGGGUUGGGCUGUUCGCCCAUUAAAGCGGUACGCGAGCUGGGUUCAGAACGUCGUGAGACAGUUCGGUCCCUAUCCGUCGUGGGCGUAGGAAAUUUGAGAGGAGCUGUCCUUAGUACGAGAGGACCGGGAUGGACAUACCUCUGGUGUACCAGUUGUCGUGCCAACGGCAUAGCUGGGUAGCUAUGUGUGGACGGGAUAAGUGCUGAAAGCAUCUAAGCAUGAAGCCCCCCUCAAGAUGAGAUUUCCCAACUUCGGUUAUAAGAUCCCUCAAAGAUGAUGAGGUUAAUAGGUUCGAGGUGGAAGCAUGGUGACAUGUGGAGCUGACGAAUACUAAUCGAUCGAAGACUUAAUCA
rnacentral:rRNA from 1 species